rnacentral:rRNA from 1 species
AGAGUUUGAUCAUGGCUCAGGAUGAACGCUGGCGGCGUGCCUAACACAUGCAAGUCGAGCGAUUUACUUCGGUAAAGAGCGGCGGACGGGUGAGUAACGCGUGGGUAACCUGCCCUGUACACACGGAUAACAUACCGAAAGGUAUGCUAAUACGAGAUAAUAUGCUUUUAUCGCAUGGUAGAAGUAUCAAAGCUCCGGCGGUACAGGAUGGACCCGCGUCUGAUUAGCUAGUUGGUAAGGUAACGGCUUACCAAGGCGACGAUCAGUAGCCGACCUGAGAGGGUGAUCGGCCACAUUGGAACUGAGACACGGUCCAAACUCCUACGGGAGGCAGCAGUGGGGAAUAUUGCACAAUGGGCGAAAGCCUGAUGCAGCAACGCCGCGUGAGCGAUGAAGGUCUUCGGGUCGUAAAGCUCUGUCCUCAAGGAAGAUAAUGGCGGUACUUGAGGAGGAAGCCCCGGCUAACUACGUGCCAGCAGCCGCGGUAAUACGUAGGGGGCUAGCGUUAUCCGGAAUUACUGGGCGUAAAGGGUGCGUAGGUGGUUUCUUAAGUCAGAGGUGAAAGGCUACGGCUCAACCGUAGUAAGCCUUUGAAACUGGGAAACUUGAGUGCAGGAGAGGAGAGUGGAAUUCCUAGUGUAGCGGUGAAAUGCGUAGAUAUUAGGAGGAGCACCAGUUGCGAAGGCGGCUCUCUGGACUGUAACUGACACUGAGGCACGAAAGCGUGGGGAGCAAACAGGAUUAGAUACCCUGGUAGUCCACGCCGUAAACGAUGAGUACUAGCUGUCGGAGGUUACCCCCUUCGGUGGCGCAGCUAACGCAUUAAGUACUCCGCCUGGGAAGUACGCUCGCAAGAGUGAAACUCAAAGGAAUUGACGG